rnacentral:ncRNA from 1 species
CGCGCGUCCGUGGUUGAAAGUCGAUGCCAGUCGCAGGCGAAACGAUCCACGUAAGCCGGGAAAAUCCCGGUGAGCAUGGUGCGGCUUAGAAGUAAGUCCAACCCAUCCCCAAGGGGAUGGAGAGCGCCAGUAGUGGGGAGGCACAGCCUUAGGAGCGAACGCGCCAGUUGGCGAGUGUGGGGUCAAAGACCAGGUCGGGCGCG